GUCGAACGAUGAAGCCUUUCGGGGUGGAUUAGUGGCGAACGGGUGAGUAACACGUGGGCAAUCUGCCCUUCACUCUGGGACAAGCCCUGGAAACGGGGUCUAAUACCGGAUAACACUUCCUGCCGCAUGGUGGGGGGUUAAAAGCUCCGGCGGUGAAGGAUGAGCCCGCGGCCUAUCAGCUUGUUGGUGGGGUGAUGGCCUACCAAGGCGACGACGGGUAGCCGGCCUGAGAGGGCGACCGGCCACACUGGGACUGAGACACGGCCCAGACUCCUACGGGAGGCAGCAGUGGGGAAUAUUGCACAAUGGGCGAAAGCCUGAUGCAGCGACGCCGCGUGAGGGAUGACGGCCUUCGGGUUGUAAACCUCUUU
rnacentral:rRNA from 1 species